rnacentral:pre_miRNA from 2 species
UGGCGCGUCAAAUUGGUUGUGAAUUAUGUUGUUUUUUUAUAUAUCAUAUCACAGCCAUUUUGACGAGUUCGA